GCCUUAUUAGCUUAGUUGGUAGAGCGUUCGCUUCGUAAGCGAGAGGUCACUGGUUCGACUCCGGUAUAAGGCU